rnacentral:rRNA from 1 species
AGAGUUUGAUCCUGGCUCAGGAUGAACGCUGUCGGCGUGCUUAACACAUGCAAGUCGAACGGACUCAUAUUGAAACCUAGUGAUUUAUGAGUUAGUGGCGGACGGGUGAGUAACGCGUGGAAAACCUGCCGUAUACUGGGGGAUAACACUUAGAAAUAGGUGCUAAUACCGCAUAAGCGCACAGCUUCGCAUGAAGUGGUGUGAAAAACUCUGGUGGUAUACGAUGGUUCCGCGUCUGAUUAGCUUGUUGGCGGGGUAAUGGCUCACCAAGGCGACGAUCAGUAGCCGGCCUGAGAGGGUGAACGGCCACAUUGGGACUGAGACACGGCCCAAACUCCUACGGGAGGCAGCAGUGGGGAAUAUUGCACAAUGGGGGAAACCCUGAUGCAGCGACGCCGCGUGAGUGAAGAAGUAUUUCGGUAUGUAAAGCUCUAUCAGCAGGGAAGAAAUAGCGACCUUUGGGUCGCCAGACGGUACCUGAUUAAGAAGCCCCGGCUAACUACGUGCCAGCAGCCGCGGUAAUACGUAGGGGGCAAGCGUUAUCCGGAUUUACUGGGUGUAAAGGGAGCGUAGACGGCAGCACAAGUCUGAAGUGAAAUGCCGGGGCUUAACCCCGGAACUGCUUUGGAAACUGUGCAGCUAGAGUGCAGGAGAGGUAAGUGGAAUUCCUAGUGUAGCGGUGAAAUGCGUAGAUAUUAGGAGGAACACCAGUGGCGAAGGCGGCUUACUGGACUGUAACUGACGUUGAGGCUCGAAAGCGUGGGGAGCAAACAGGAUUAGAUACCCUGGUAGUCCACGCUGUAAACGAUGAUUACUAGGUGUUGGGGGACCAAGGUCCUUCGGUGCCGUCGCAAACGCA